GCGUAAGCGCACGCAGGCGGUCUGUCAAGUCGGAUGUGAAAUCCCCGGGCUCAACCUGGGAACUGCAUUCGAAACUGGCAGGCUAGAGUCUUGUAGAGGGGGGUAGAAUUCCAGGUGUAGCGGUGAAAUGCGUAGAGAUCUGGAGGAAUACCGGUGGCGAAGGCGGCCCCCUGGACAAAGACUGACGCUCAGGUGCGAAAGCGUGGGGAGCAAACAGGAUUAGAUACCCUGGUAGUCCACGCCGUAAACGAUGUCGACUUGGAGGUUGUGCCCUUGAGGCGUGGCUUCCGGAGCUAACGCGUUAAGUCGACCGCCUGGGGAGUACGGCCGCAAGGUUAAAACUCAAAUGAAUUGACGGGGGCCCGCACAAGCGGUGGAGCAUGUGGUUUAAUUCGAUGCAACGCGAAGAACCUUACCUACUCUUGACAUCCAGAGAACUUAGCAGAGAUGCUUUGGUGCCUUCGGGAACUCUGAGACAGGUGCUGCAUGGCUGUCGUCAGCUCGUGUUGUGAAAUGUUGGGUUAAGUCCCGCAACGAGCGCAACCCUUAUCCUUUGUUGCCAGCGGU
rnacentral:rRNA from 1 species